rnacentral:rRNA from 1 species
AUACGUAGGGUGCAAGCGUUAAUCGGAAUUACUGGGCGUAAAGCGUGCGCAGGCGGUUUUGUAAGACAGUGGUGAAAUCCCCGGGCUCAACCUGGGAACUGCCUUUGUGACUGCAAGGCUAGAGUACGGCAGAGGGGGGUGGAAUUCCGCGUGUAGCAGUGAAAUGCGUAGAUAUGCGGAGGAACACCGAUGGCGAAGGCAAUCCCCUGGGCCUGUACUGACGCUCAUGCACGAAAGCGUGGGGAGCAAACAGGAUUAGAUACCCUGGUAGUCCACGCCCUAAACGAUGUCAACUGGUUGUUGGGGAUUUAUUUUCUCAGUAACGAAGCUAACGCGUGAAGUUGACCGCCUGGGGAGUACGGCCGCAAGGUUAAAACUCAAAUGAAUUGACGGGG